GAGGAAUAUUGGUCAAUGGGCGAGAGCCUGAACCAGCCAAGUAGCGUGCAGGAUGACGGCCCUAUGGGUUGUAAACUGCUUUUAUGUGGGGAUAAAGUGAGCUACGUGUAGUUUAUUGCAGGUACCACACGAAUAAGGACCGGCUAAUUCCGUGCCAGCAGCCGCGGUAAUACGGAAGGUCCAGGCGUUAUCCGGAUUUAUUGGGUUUAAAGGGAGCGUAGGCCGUGGAUUAAGCGUGUUGUGAAAUGUAGACGCUCAACGUCUGAAUUGCAGCGCGAACUGGUUCACUUGAGUAUGCGCAACGUAGGCGGAAUUCGUCGUGUAGCGGUGAAAUGCUUAGAUAUGACGAAGAACUCCGAUUGCGAAGGCAGCUUACGGGAGCACAACUGACGCUGAAGCUCGAAGGUGCGGGUAUCAAACAGGAUUAGAUACCCUGGUAGUCCGCACAGUAAACGAUGGAUGCCCGUUGUUAGUUCACUUAUGAAUUAGCGACCAAGCGAAAGCAUUAAGCAUCCCACCUGGGGGGUACGCCGGCAACGGUG
rnacentral:rRNA from 1 species